rnacentral:rRNA from 1 species
CCCUUAGAUGUCCGGGGCUGCACGCGCGCUACACUGAAGGAAUCAGCGUGCUAAAACCAUUGUCGAAAGGCAUUGGUAAACCCAUUAAAAUCCUACGUGAUUGGGAUCGGGAAUUGCAAUUAUUUCCCUUGAACGAGGAAUUCCCAGUAAGUGUGGUUCAUAAGCUCGCGUUGAUUACGUCCCUGCCCUUUGUACACACCGCCCGUCGCUGCCCGGGACUGAGCCGUUUCGAGAAAAGCGGGGACUGCUGCUGUCGGGGCUUUCGGGCCUUGGCUUCGGUGGAAACCGCUUUAAUCGCAGUGGCUUGAACCGGGCAAAAGUCGUANCA